CCUAUCUUCCGCCGCCACUCUCUUCUUUCUCCCACGUCCCGUUGCGCUCCUCUGUUCCGUGGCCAACGUCGCCGGCGGGUGAGCGUCCUCAACUCGCUGCUUCUUGCAACCACGUGAGCCACAGACAAGUUCUGCUCCGCCAUGACCGAGCUCCUCCGCCAUGUCCCUCCCCGGCGCGGGCCUCUACCUCGCCAUCGACCACCGCCGAGCACGCCUCCUACUCUGCCCGCCUCGCACAGGUGUUCUGCGAGGUCGACGCUGCCUAGUUCCGCUCCGCGCGUCUCCGCCUCCGGCCCCUUCAUCCCACCUGCUUCCUCGUCCUCCAAGGUCGUUCGUCGUCCUCGUCCGUCUCCGACGCGAACACCCGGCCUCCUUCAUCAACGCACGAGUUCGCUAAUCUCCUCUACCCUGCGCCCGGCCUUGUCGGACAUGAUCCAAGUUCCCGGCCAUUCUCCAUCUUCUCCAGCCUCGUCCGCGCGUGGGCCGCAGCUCUGCGCCGCCGGCACCGCCCCGAUCUCAGACUCCUCCGUCAAAGCGUCCACCAGCCAGCUCCCGCGGAUCAUACUGCAGCACACGCUUCCGUUCCACGUCGCCAAGAUCCAUCCGAGCACCGCGCCGCGUCCCUGCAUGUCCGAUGCCCUCGUGCAUGGCUAAGUUUCCGCCGUGGAUGCUGUCAAGAAUUGUGCGUCUCCACUUUUCACACGAAGCAAACAGUGGCCCAGUGCCGGGCCUCGUUCGUCAUUUGGUCAGGCUAGAUCCUCCUCCGGUGUAAAUCAUCACAGCAGCAGGCAGCAUCCAGUCAGCAGUACACUGAGUACAGUCAGCGCCUGGUCCCGCGAGUCAUUCCCUGUGGCUAGCCCCCCUUUCGGUAUAAAAACAUUUUCUUCUUUUCUCUGUUUUCUGAAUUUGCAGAAAAUGUGCAUAUCUUGCAAAAAUCAUAUCUCUUAAUCCGUAACUCCAAAUAAAAAGUGUUCUAUAUGCAAAUUGAUCAGAAAAACAUGAGGAACGUGAAUAUGGCAUCCAUAUACCUGUUUGCUUAUCGCAUCAUAUCGAACCGUGAUAGUUUUUUUUUUUUUUUGAGAAGAUUACUGCAUU